UGUUGGUAUUGGGACUGACACUUCUUAACUUCUUUGUCAGUGACAUGGACAGUGAAAUUUGAGUGCAGCCUCAACUAGGUUUCAGCCAGCUGUGCCCAAAAUCUGUGAAAAAUAUGGUGUAAAGUGACUGUGAGAAUGAGAGGAGAAAGAAGAAAGCUAUGCUCAAUGUCUUGAUCUGCUUGACAUUUUUCUAUUAUUUUAGCACUGAUCUCUGAGAAUCAAUAAAUACAGCUAAUCAUAGCUAGAUUAUUUAAGACUUCUCUUUAUCCACACAAUUCAUGUGAUAGUAAUUAUGGCACAACUUGGGUGUUAAAUUCUACCUGAAGUAAGAGAUACUGGAAAAAAAAGCCCAAAGGAAUUAAUGACAACAUUGCCUGAAUAAUAGCAUAUUUAUAUUGUAAUUUCUCUGUUACUUGAUCGAUUCAGAUGAUCCAUCCCUAUCUCUGCAAUCAGAAAAUUCAGCGUUGUUGAUUCUGGGGCUGCUUCUCUCCAUUGGGAAACCAAAUAAGAUGGAUGGUAGAGUCCAUGGGUGUGAAUUUAGAGCAGUGUCAGGUCUGAAAUGUCUUGAGAUUUCUGAGAUCUCUUAGCAGGAAUGGGAAUAGAAUCAGAAAUGCUGAGAAGAAGUCUGACUCUGGCAAGACUUGCAAAAGGUCAGAAUGAGGAUCAAGGAAGUUCCUAAUAUUGCUUCUGCUGUAAAAUAAGAUUCAUUGGGUCCCCUGUCAGACAGUCCCAGUUCCAGAGCUAUUGCAGAGGAAGCUAUGCUUGGGCCACCCCUUGCAGGACUUGUCUCUGGAGAAGACAAAUGCAUAGAUUAGAUGUGUGAAGAUGUGCUUGCGGAAAUCUUCUCGGUGGGGACAAUUUUGACUUGCAUUGAGUUAAUAUCUCCUGGGAAUGAGGCUGGGGAGGUGGUUAUCGCUUCCACUGGGGCCACAGCUCCCAUAAAUCCAUCUUCUUCUGAGCAAGCAGUAACAGGAAAGCAGAGGAAAACAUGGAAAAUAAACAGCAAGAUUUUAAUUUUAGAUAUCUGGUCAGAGUAAUAUCCUCAGGCAGAACCAGUGGGAAUUGAUGGUCAUAGAGAAAAAACAUUCAACAGGAAAAUUGGAAAAGCAGUGUAUCCACACUGGUCAUUUCUUCACAUCUCUUGCCUUUCAGAAGGAGGGACUGUUGUUAACGAUGAUCAGUUUAACUGCUGAUUUUUUAUUUUAAUUUUAUUUAUGUGUACUGAGAAAAAGAGCUGUGCCAGUUGCUGAAAACCAUGUUGGUUGCUUCUUAGUCAGCUGUACUGAGAGAUAAAGCCCAGGGCUUUGGGAUGUCAAGAAGAAUACCUUUGCCUUUGAAUGAGUUUCUGAGUGAUACUUAACUUGUGUUUAAUGCAUCUUCCAGAGUUGUCAAAGUAGAAGCUCCUUUGGGCUUGAAUGAGGAGAAUUAAAUGGUAGGUGGUUCUCCAAAUGUCUCCUUCAAAGUCUGACUAGGUAUGUUAUCUGUGAUACAGUAGUAUGUUCCUAGUACAGGUUUUUAUCCCUUGGUAAUAUUUUGAGCUUUAUGUUGGACUUAUACCUCUUUAGAGAGCAUGAGUAAUUGUUUUUCAGGAAGUAAAAGAUUGCUGCAGAUGUGCAAAUACAGGUGCUCUUGCUCCUUCAGGAGUUCUCAGUUUUCUAUUACCAAACUUCCCAGAAGCAGCUAGAAAAACAUGGACCAAAACUGGAGCUGUUGCUAGGUGAAAAUGAGAAAUAUCUGGUAAAAAAACUACUUUGAUAAUACAGGAGAGAUAUGAAGGAACAGCCAGCACUUACACUCAGCCUUUUCAAGUACACACACUUAUGCCUGUGCUGGUUUUUUUUAAAAAAAUAGAAAAAAAACCCUUUAAAAGUCAGAAGUGUUGUUUCUUAAAAAAAAAAAGUAAGAUUCUGUAUGGUUUUCAUUAUUCCAAACUGACACUUAGGGCAGUGGCUCACAGAGAGGAGCACACUACACCUUGAAACCAGGUUCUGAAGUUCUAAAACAAUGCAACUUUCCACCUCUCCCCAGGCAACAAAGUUUAGUGGAAGGUGUCCCUGCCCACAGUAGGGGCACUGGAACCAUCUGAUCUUCAAGGACCCUUCCAACCCAAACCAUUCUGUGAUUUUCUGAGUUAAGCAGUGGCUUGGUUGUACCCACCCAGUGCUCAUAUGCUUGGCAGAUAGGGGGUCUCUGAACAUGGCAGUGGGGCUUUGCUUGUGAGGGAGCCUCAUAGCAAGAGUUCAGCAGCUAAACUGGGCAAUGGCUGGUCUAAGACUGGUCUCCUUCUCUAUUUCCUGCCUGCAGGACUUGGCCCUCAUUUACCAGGUGUGCCCUCCCAGAGGUACCAAGGGCUUUGGGUGACUUCUGUCCCUGGCCUCUCGUGUUGCAGUGCUCACCAUGCAGGCAGGAAGAGAGUAGUUUUCUCAUACUGCAGCAAUGAGGGAAAAAAAG